AGGGGACAGUCGAGCGGUAGCACAGAGAGCUUGCUCUCGGGUGACGAGCGGCGGACGGGUGAGUAAUGUCUGGGAAACUGCCUGAUGGAGGGGGAUAACUACUGGAAACGGUAGCUAAUACCGCAUAAUGUCGCAAGACCAAAGUGGGGGACCUUCGGGCCUCAUGCCAUCAGAUGUGCCCAGAUGGGAUUAGCUAGUAGGUGGGGUAACGGCUCACCUAGGCGACGAUCCCUAGCUGGUCUGAGAGGAUGACCAGCCACACUGGAACUGAGACACGGUCCAGACUCCUACGGGAGGCAGCAGUGGGGAAUAUUGCACAAUGGGCGCAAGCCUGAUGCAGCCAUGCCGCGUGUGUGAAGAAGGCCUUCGGGUUGUAAAGCACUUUCAGCGGGGAGGAAGGCGUUAAGGUUAAUAACCUUGUCGAUUGACGUUACCCGCAGAAGAAGCACCGGCUAACUCCGUGCCAGCAGCCGCGGUAAUACGGAGGGUGCAAGCGUUAAUCGGAAUUACUGGGCGUAAAGCGCACGCAGGCGGUCUGUCAAGUCGGAUGUGAAAUCCCCGGGCUCAACCUGGGAACUGCAUUCGAAACUGGCAGGCUAGAGUCUUGUAGAGGGGGGUAGAAUUCCAGGUGUAGCGGUGAAAUGCGUAGAGAUCUGGAGGAAUACCGGUGGCGAAGGCGGCCCCCUGGACAAAGACUGACGCUCAGGUGCGAAAGCGUGGGGAGCAAACAGGAUUAGAUACCCUGGUAGUCCACGCCGUAAACGAUGUCGAUUUGGAGGUUGUGCCCUUGAGGCGUGGCUUCCGGAGCUAACGCGUUAAAUCGACCGCCUGGGGAGUACGGCCGCAAGGUUAAAACUCAAAUGAAUUGACGGGGGCCCGCACAAGCGGUGGAGCAUGUGGUUUAAUUCGAUGCAACGCGAAGAACCUUACCUGGUCUUGACAUCCACAGAACUUUCCAGAGAUGGAUUGGUGCCUUCGGGAACUGUGAGACAGGUGCUGCAUGGCUGUCGUCAGCUCGUGUUGUGAAAUGUUGGGUUAAGUCCCGCAACGAGCGCAACCCUUAUCCUUUGUUGCCAGCGGUUAGGCCGGGAACUCAAAGGAGACUGCCAGUGAUAAACUGGAGGAAGGUGGGGAUGACGUCAAGUCAUCAUGGCCCUUACGACCAGGGCUACACACGUGCUACAAUGGCAUAUACAAAGAGAAGCGACCUCGCGAGAGCAAGCGGACCUCAUAAAGUAUGUCGUAGUCCGGAUUGGAGUCUGCAACUCGACUCCAUGAAGUCGGAAUCGCUAGUAAUCGUAGAUCAGAAUGCUACGGUGAAUACGUUCCCGGGC
rnacentral:rRNA from 1 species